ACAACAUCCCAUGUAAUAUAGAUAAUAAAAGGGGAAGGUACAUAGUUGGCUUACACUCGCCACGUCAAACAAAGUACAUAAAUAAUAUUACAUCAUCCAAUCACUCAUGGUCCGACUACGGUGCCAAAAUAAAAGAUCAACCCAACAUGCCACACGAUCCCGAUCGCGCCAACUGGGCACCACUACUGAUCAUCAGGGAAAGACAUAUAGUAACGGCGUGAGUCCUCGUCGAACUCCCACUUGAGCUCAAGCGCGUCAUCUGGAACGGAGUCAUCAGGCCCUGCAUCUGGUUUGGAAGUAAUCUGUGAGCCACAGGGACUCAGCAAUCUCGCACCCUCGCGAUCAAGACUAUUUAAGCUUAUAGGUAAGGCAAGGUAAUAUGUGGAGCUGCAGCAAGCGACUAGCAUAUAUGGUGGCUAACCUGUUCGCAAAAGAGAGCGAGAAGAGAAGGCAAAGCGCGAACGAAUAACUAGAGAACAACCUGCGGCAAGCAUUACUCCAACACCGUGUUCACUUCCCGGAAUCCGCCGAGAAGAGACCAUCAUGGUAACGCACACAGUUGAUUCAUUUCAAUUAAGUUAAGGUUCGAGUUAUCUACAACCGGACAUUAACAAAUUCCCAUCUGCCCAUAACCGUGGGCACGACUUUCGAAAGUUCAAAUCCCUGCAGGGGAGUCCCAACUUAGCCCAUGAUAAGCUCUCACGGUCAACAAAGGAUAUACCUUCUCCCGAGACAUUCCGAUCAGACUCGGUAUCCCGGUUCUACAAGACAUUUCGACAAGUUAAAACAAAUCCAGCAACACCACCCAGAUGUGCCGACAAAUCCCGAUAGGAGCUGCACAUAUCUCGUUCUCAGGGCACACCGGAUGAGCAAGACGUCAGGUAGGCCAGCCCAGAGUUGCCCCUGGUAGCCCCGGACAUCGCUCGGUUGGACCAACACUUAGAGAAGCACUGGCCCGGGGGGGUUAAAAUAAAGAUGACCCUUGAGUCCGCGAAACCCAAGGGAAAAAGGCUAGGUGGCAAAUGGUAAAACCAAUGUUGGGCAUUGCUGGAGGAGUUUUAUUCAAGGCGAACUGUCAAGGGGUUCCCAUUAUCACCCAACCGCGUAAGGAACGCAAAAUCCGGGAACAUAACACCGAUAUGACGAAAACUAGGGCGGCAAGAGUGGAACAAAACACCAGGCAUAAGGCCGAGCCUUCCACCCUUUACCAAGUAUAUAGAUGCAUUAAUUUAAUAAGAUAUAUUGUGAUAUCCCAACAAGUAAACAUGUUUCACACAAGGAACAACAUCUCCAUGUUGGGUUGAGAAAAGCGGUAACAUAGCCAAACAACGGUUUGCUAGGACAAGGUGGGUUAGAGGCUUGGUUCAACAAUAUGGGUGGCAUGAUAAGCAAGUGGUAGGUAUCGCAGCAUAGGCAUAGCAAAAAAGCGAGCAUCUAGCAAGCAAAGAUAGAAGUGAUUUCGAGAGUAUGGUCAUCUUGCCUGAAAUCCCGCAAGGAAGAAGAACGAGUCCAUGAAGAAGACAAACGGACGUAGUCGAACGGAUCCUCACAAACACGACGUUAUCGAAACCAACCCAAAGAAGCAACACCAGAAAGAAGCAAACAACAUAGUAAAUAACCAUCACAUAAUCAUGGC
rnacentral:lncRNA from 1 species